GACGAACGCUGGCGGCGUGCUUAACACAUGCAAGUCGAACGGAAAGGCCCUGCUUUUGUGGGGUGCUCGAGUGGCGAACGGGUGAGUAACACGUGAGUAACCUGCCCUUGACUUUGGGAUAACUUCAGGAAACUGGGGCUAAUACCGGAUAGGAGCUCCUGCUGCAUGGUGGGGGUUGGAAAGUUUCGGCGGUUGGGGAUGGACUCGCGGCUUAUCAGCUUGUUGGUGGGGUAGUGGCUUACCAAGGCUUUGACGGGUAGCCGGCCUGAGAGGGUGACCGGCCACAUUGGGACUGAGAUACGGCCCAGACUCCUACGGGAGGCAGCAGUGGGGAAUAUUGCACAAUGGGCGGAAGCCUGAUGCAGCAACGCCGCGUGCGGGAUGACGGCCUUCGGGUUGUAAACCGCUUUCGCCUGUGACGAAGCGUGAGUGACGGUAAUGGGUAAAGAAGCACCGGCUAACUACGUGCCAGCAGCCGCGGUGAUACGUAGGGUGCGAGCGUUGUCCGGAUUUAUUGGGCGUUAAGGGCUCGUAGGUGGUUGAUCGCGUCGGAAGUGUAAUCUUGGGGCUUAACCCUGAGCGUGCUUUCGAUACGGGUUGACUUGAGGAAGGUAGGGGAGAAUGGAAUUCCUGGUGGAGCGGUGGAAUGCGCAGAUAUCAGGAGGAACACCAGUGGCGAAGGCGGUUCUCUGGGCCUUUCCUGACGCUGAGGAGCGAAAGCGUGGGGAGCGAACAGGCUUAGAUACCCUGGUAGUCCACGCUGUAAACGGUGGGUACUAGGUGUGGGGUCCAUUCCACGGGUUCCGUGCCGUAGCUAACGCUUUAAGUACCCCGCCUGGGGAGUACGGCCGCAAGGCUAAAACUCAAAGGAAUUGACGGGGCCCCGCACAAGCGGCGGAGCAUGCGGAUUAAUUCGAUGCAACGCGUAGAACCUUACCUGGGUUUGACAUGGAUCGGGAGCGCUCAGAGAUGGGUGUGCCUCUUUUGGGGUCGGUUCACAGGUGGUGCAUGGCUGUCGUCAGCUCGUGUCGUGAGAUGUUGGGUUAAGUCCCGCAACGAGCGCAACCCUUGUUCACUGUUGCCAGCACGUUAUGGUGGGGACUCAGUGGAGACCGCCGGGGUCAACUCGGAGGAAGGUGGGGAUGACGUCAAGUCAUCAUGCCCCUUAUGUCCAGGGCUUCACGCAUGCUACAAUGGCUGGUACAGAGAGUGGCGAGCCUGUGAGGGUGAGCGAAUCUCGGAAAGCCGGUCUCAGUUCGGAUUGGGGUCUGCAACUCGACCUCAUGAAGUCGGAGUCGCUAGUAAUCGCAGAUCAGCAACGCUGCGGUGAAUACGUUCCCGGG
rnacentral:rRNA from 1 species